UCCCCUCGCUGGUCGCCGCGGCCGAAACAAAAAAAAACACCCGCUCAAUCGAUCCCCUCGCUGGUCGCCGCGGCCGUCGAUUUCCCGGGCGAGGGUGCUUAGAUCCGGCGACUUGGUAAUUGUGGCGCCAACUUCUAGAUCCUGUCGGAGUCGUCGCUGCCUGGGGUUUCCGUGCCCAACUGUCGACGAGCCGGCCGCCGGCCCCCAUUGCCGCGGCGACGAGCCGACGGCCGCCCACCAUUGCUGUGCGUACGAGCCAGCCACCGCCCGCAAUUUCUUCAGCAGUCACUCCCCGUUGUUCCCCGACUCAACGCCGGCCGGCAGCUAGAUGGAUAGACUUUGGAUUUGUGGCACACUAUUCUCUCGGGAGUACAUCGAUGGUGUCAAAGAGUUUAUGAACUUCACUCAAGCAAAAUUCAGCGAGGAUGAAGAAAUACUCUGCCCAUGUAGACAAUGCCUUAAUCACAAAUACUGGCAUCAGGCCAUUGUGAACAAGCACAUAUUGAUGAAUGGCAUGGAAAAUAAGUGAGACCGCUCGCUGAAAAGGGCCGGCCCAUUAUUCUUUUCAAUCGCUGCCA